UAUACAUGCAGUCGAACGAACUUCCGUUAAUUGAUUAUGACGUGCUUGCACUGAAUGAGAUUUUAACACGAAGUGAGUGGCGGACGGGUGAGUAACACGUGGGUAACCUGCCCAGAAGCAGGGGAUAACACCUGGAAACAGAUGCUAAUACCGUAUAACAGAGAAAACCGCCUGGUUUUCUUUUAAAAGAUGGCUCUGCUAUCACUUCUGGAUGGACCCGCGGCGCAUUAGCUAGUUGGUGAGGUAACGGCUCACCAAGGCGAUGAUGCGUAGCCGACCUGAGAGGGUAAUCGGCCACAUUGGGACUGAGACACGGCCCAGACUCCUACGGGAGGCAGCAGUAGGGAAUCUUCCACAAUGGACGCAAGUCUGAUGGAGCAACGCCGCGUGAGUGAAGAAGGGUUUCGGCUCGUAAAGCUCUGUUGUUAAAGAAGAACGUGGGUGAGAGUAACUGUUCACCCAGUGACGGUAUUUAACCAGAAAGCCACGGCUAACUACGUGCCAGCAGCCGCGGUAAUACGUAGGUGGCAAGCGUUAUCCGGAUUUAUUGGGCGUAAAGCGAGCGCAGGCGGUCUUUUAAGUCUAAUGUGAAAGCCUUCGGCUCAACCGAAGAAGUGCAUUGGAAACUGGGAGACUUGAGUGCAGAAGAGGACAGUGGAACUCCAUGUGUAGCGGUGAAAUGCGUAGAUAUAUGGAAGAACACCAGUGGCGAAGGCGGCUGUCUGGUCUGUAACUGACGCUGAGGCUCGAAAGCAUGGGUAGCGAACAGGAUUAGAUACCCUGGUAGUCCAUGCCGUAAACGAUGAUUACUAAGUGUUGGAGGGUUUCCGCCCUUCAGUGCUGCAGCUAACGCAUUAAAGUAAUCCGCCUGGGGAGUACGACCGCAAGUUGAAACUCAAA
rnacentral:rRNA from 1 species